UCUCUCUUUCCUCGAAAUCCGUGC
rnacentral:siRNA from 1 species